GGCUAGCUAUUUUUAACAAAGUCAUCCUUCCUUUUCCUUUUCUCAAGGUGGUCGGCCAUAGGAAAGGGGAUUGGAUUGCUAUUUUUAGCAAAUACUACCCCUCACUCCCUCAUUCAUUCAUCUCUCUCUUUUUUAUCUCUAUUUGCUUUCAUUUCCCAUUUUCUCAUUUUUCAAGUGAGUUCUGCAAGGAUUUGAAAGCAGCUGAUUCGGACAUUGGAAGAGCAUUUUGGCUUGAUUGCUAUGGCAAGGAGUGAAGCACAAAGGAGGAGCAAGGAAGUUGUGCCAUGGAGAACCACCGGAAACGGCUUUGCAUUUCUUUCCCUUGAAUUGUGCAAGGAUUUGAGAGCAGCCCAUUCAGCCAUUGGAGGAGCAUUUUGGCUUGAUUCCUAUGGCAAGGAGUGAAGCACAAAGGAGGGGAAAUGAAGUUGUGCCACGGAGAACCACCAAAAAUGGCUUUGCAUUUUUUUCCCUUUGCUCUUUUGAUUUCUUGUUGUUGAAUUUAAGAAACAUGUUUGCAACUAAAGUUUAUGUUUUUAAUUUAAUUAUGGUUGCUUAA